UACAGAGGUGGCAAGCGUUGUUCGGAAUUACUGGGCGUAAAGGGCGCGUAGGCGGUUCGUUAAGUCCUGUGUGAAAUCCCCCGGCUCAACUGGGGAACUGCACAGGAAACUAGCGGGCUUGAGUUCGGGAGAGGGAAGCGGAAUUCCGGGUGUAGCGGUGAAAUGCGUAGAUAUCCGGAGGAACACCGGUGGCGAAGGCGGCUGCCUGGACCGACACUGACGCUGAGGCGCGAAAGCUAGGGGAGCAAACAGG
rnacentral:rRNA from 1 species